rnacentral:lncRNA from 1 species
CCACUUCUCAGUCUUCAUUGUGCAGGAGGAGUGAUCCGGGCGAAGUCGUGCUCCACUGUCACCUUAGCAAACCUUAUCGCCUCCUCAUAAACAUCCAGAGCUGGAGUUUUGCCAUGUCUCCCAGGCUAGUCUGGAACUCCUGGGCUCAAGCGAUCCAACGAGCUCGGCCUCCCAAAGUGCUGAGAUUACAGUCAGAUGACACCUCACAUGGCCGAGAAUAAUUUAUUGAGGAUGGUAAUUAUUUGAGCAUGAUGAGAGGCUCAACAUUGAGAAAUCCUAAUGGAAGUGAAGGCACUGAUGGAAGAACAUUGGUAGACAUUAGAGGGAGAGCCUGGAAUAUGAGCCCCUCAAUCAAACUCCCAAAGUUUUCUUGAAAAUCUGUAAACCACUGAAAUCAUUCUUUGAUAUCCUUUUUUAACCUACUCAAGGACAGGAGGCCCAGACUGGCCGUCUUUGCUAGCUGCCACUAAACAGUUUACCUGCCACCCCCUACCCACCCCCAGAGAGCAUAGAUAAGAUUUAUUGUGUAUACACUGCAGUUUUUCCUCAACCUCCACUUAUUUUUAUAAAUCCUUAACUAGGCUUCAGAGCUGAUUCCCUC